rnacentral:rRNA from 1 species
AGUAACGCGUGAGGAACCUGCCUCAAAGAAGGGGGACGAACAGUUGGAAACGACUGCUAAUACCGCAUAAGCCCACGGUGCCGCAUGGCACAGAGGGGAAAGGAGCAAUCCGCUUUGAGAUGGCCUCGCGUCCGAUUAGCUAGUUGGUGAGGUAACGGCCCACCAAGGCAACGAUCGGUAGCCGGACUGAGAGGUUGAACGGCCACAUCGGGACUGAGACGCGGCCCAGACUCCUACGGGAGGCAGCAUG